rnacentral:rRNA from 1 species
UACAGAGGGGGCAAGCGUUGUUCGGAAUUACUGGGCGUAAAGGGCGCGUAGGCGGCCUGCUAAGUCGGACGUGAAAUCCCCGGGCUCAACCCGGGAACUGCGUCCGAUACUGGCAGGCUUGAAUCCGGGAGAGGGAUGUGGAAUUCCAGGUGUAGCGGUGAAAUGCGUAGAUAUCUGGAGGAACACCGGUGGCGAAGGCGGCAUCCUGGACCGGUAUUGACGCUGAUGCGCGAAAGCGUGGGGAGCAAACAGG